AGUAAGGUCAGCUAAAUAAGCUCUUGGGCCCAUACCCCAAAAAUGAUGGUUAGAAUCCCUCCUUUACUA
rnacentral:tRNA from 1 species